CAAGUGAAAGAGGGACCUGAGCUGCAGAACCAACCAAGCCGGCAAUUAGAUUAUCGGUUAUGUAGCAAGGGAGUCUGGAAAUGGCCAUGAAAUUCGCGUACCAAAGAGGAAAUCUAAACAUGGUUUCUCAUGUUAUGUCUCCUGUUAGUGUGCAUGCAGAUGGACACCAGUUUUGUUGGUGGACAGAAGCAGGCACUACCUUCAGCAGGGAGGUCAUUAAAUCUUCAGCGCAAUUUCUGACUUCCAGGAGACCUGUUCAGGCAAGCAGACUACUCUCUGCAGGCCAGACUUUCGUGGUUUGCUGAGUUGUGUUUGCUGGCCACAGCGCUCAGUCAGGACGAUGGUCAUCAGGAAAACAUGGCUGCAGGACCAGGCACUCUGGCGGGGCUGACGUGGAGAAUGAGGAGGGCAGGAGGGCCGCCUCACACUGAUUUACAGGAGACAACUGCGACACAGUCCACAGAGCUGCAGUCAUCCCCUCUUGUCCCUCAGAGCUGGUGAGCUGGUCCACGCUGUUCCAGAAGUCCUUAUCGUAGCUGUGACGCUCUGGAGCCUCCUCACAAGUCAGUGAUGAUCAAACCCAAAAGAUGAGGGCACGGAGAGGUUAAGCUCCAAACAGCAUCCUCGAAGGCUCUCCUGGGAGCCCAGCAGAGAAUCCCCAUCAACAGGCUGUUCUCUUGUAAGCGCUGGCGUCGCUCUCAGU
rnacentral:lncRNA from 1 species